rnacentral:rRNA from 1 species
UACAGGGGGGCAAGCGUUGUUCGGAAUUACUUGGCGUAAAGGGCCAGUAGGCGGCCGACUAAGUCCGACGUGAAAUCCCCAGGCUUAACCUGGGAACUGCGUCGGAUACUGGAUGGCUUGAAUUCGGGAGAGGGAUGCAGAAUUCCAGGUGUAGCGGUGAAAUGCGUAGAUAUCUGGAGGAAUACCGGUGGCGAAGGCGGCAUCCUGGACCGACAUUGACGCUGAAAGGCGAAAGCUAGGGGAGCAAACGGG